rnacentral:rRNA from 1 species
CAAUAGCGUAUAUUAAAGUUGUUGCGGUUAAAAAGCUCGUAGUUGGAGUUCUGCCAGGUGCCGCCUGUCCGCCCCAGUGGUGAGUACGUGGCGCGCAUUUGGCCCUUUCAAGGGGAGCGUAUUGCACUUAACUGUGUGGUGCGGGAUCCUUGACUUUUACUUGAGGAAAUAAGAGUGUUCCAAGCAGGCUCUCGUCGUGCAUAGCUCAGCAUGGAAUAAUAGCAUUGGAUCUCGAUUCCAAACUGUUGGUUGUAGGAAACGAGAUAAUGAUGAAGAGGGAUAGUUGGGGGUGCUAGUAUUCAGCGGCCAGAGGUGAAAUUCUUGGAUUCGCUGAAGACUAACUUAUGCGAAAGCAUUCACCAAGGAUGUCUUCUUUAAUCAAGAACGAAAGUUGGGGAUCGAAGACGAUCAGAUUCCA